AGCUUUGCGCAGUGGCAGUAUCGUAGCCAAUGAGGUUUAUCCGAGGCGCGAUUAUUGCUAAUUGAAAACUUUUCCCGAUAACACACUUUUGUACGUUCUUUUACUAUUUUCAUUCUAUGUCUGGAAUUAUAUUUA